rnacentral:rRNA from 1 species
AUACGGAGGAUCCGAGCGUUAUCCGGAUUUAUUGGGUUUAAAGGGUGCGCAGGCGGCCAUUUAAGUCAGCGGUUAAAUCGUGGGGCUCAACCCCAUUCUGCCGUUGAUACUGGGUGGCUUGAUUGCGGUCGAGGUCGGCGGAAUUCGUUGUGUAGCGGUGAAAUGCAUAGAUAUGACGAAGAACACCGAUUGCGUAGGCAGCUGACCAGACCGCAAAUGACGCUCAUGCACGAAAGUGCGGGGAUCGAACAGGAUUAGAUACCCUGGUAGUCCGCACAGUAAACGAUGAAUACUUGUUUUCGGCGAUAUAAUGUCGGAGGCAAAGCGAAAGCGAUAAGUAUUCCACCUGGGGAGUACGCCGGCAACGGUGAAACUCAAAGGAAUUGACGGGG